AUUAGUUUCGAGGUGCCUAGACCUCAAACAUUCCAAAACAAUAUAUUUUUUCUAUCAUAAAUCCAGCCGAGAGGGCCUACUCAAAGCCAUAGUAGAACUUCUUAAAAGACAACCCGUACUCACCUCCUUUUUUCCAAUUUCAGAGUCCGGAACCCCAUCUUUAGCGUUUCGCAAAUGAGGAAGUUCGCUCUCCCCAUCAGAUUCUGAAACAAUCUUCAGAAAGAAUAAUUCUUGGCAUCAGCCACUAUUUGGCUCAGCCGGAACACACCAUACAUGGCGUCGGGGUAAAAUUCCAUUUCUGUCCCUGAGCGACACGGCCUCCCUCCACGUUCCCUCUCACAAGUUUCCCGAAUUUCAAAUCAAAUCAGCCUCUCGGAAUCUCUCCUCUCCCCCAUGCCCAAAUCUCCAAACUUGCCCAGCAAUCCUUCCCCCCCAUCCCAUCCCUAUCGCCCACCCCCACCCCUAACCCCGUAGCCCAGGAUAUCGUCGUACCCCCCACCCCCAUUCGAAUCUGUCCCGCAUAAUACUUUCUCCCUACGUCGCAUCACCUCCCGGUGUCAGUCAAGAGUCGCGAGGCCGUCGCUUUGUCCAGCGAGAGAAGUGCCUCCCUCUGCACAGCGCCGCCCACUCCUCGAGUUGUUUGUUGCAACCAGCAAACCAGAAUAACACCGAAAGGCCUUCGACGUUCCUCUGUUUCACCACCGCUUGCUCAGCGACGUAGUCGAACAGAAGAUGGAACAAACCAUGGAAAAGAAAGCGUAAAAGGACCUUCGACGUUGACAACCGUUCCGUUCAUAAACUUGUUCCUUGCUUGCAGAGUUGAGUAAGGAGUUCUGGUACUCUGCCUUUUCCUUAAGACUCUUUUUUAUGAGAUCAUUGUAUCAUUUGCUGAAGAUAAUAGUUAUGGAAGUUCUAUGUUAAAAUUUUCACAGGAUUAUUAGUUUGUUCAUUCUGGUGGACUAAAACAAAAAAGAAGUGGCAAACUUGUAGUUUUGGUUUUAAAAGUAAAACAAACAAAUAAUCAUGAAAACUAAUCAUGAAAAUAAUUUGGUAGAUGACACUUGCUGCAUGUGACGAAUCAUGAGCAUCUUUCAUGUAUGGCUUUACGAGAUAAGGAUGUUUAAUAUUGUAAAACAACUUUGGUCGAUGUGGGGUUCUUUGAAAACAUAUACAACUUUAAUUAACCAUAUAAGGGUAUGCAUGUGUUGUUGGUAUUCUUUUUAAAUUGGUUAAGGCAAUUUAAGGUAGUAGUAUAGAUUUUUUGGGUCUGGCUUGCGUUCUGUGCAAAUUCUUAGGAGAUCCGAAGUUGCACAGUCACACUUGCUUGUUGGUAAUCCAGUCACUUAAUACCUGUCAUCUCUCACGUGUCCAACACAUUUCAUCCCUUCUAAAUAUUUAUUCGUGAGAAAUAUUUAUUCAUUAAAUAUAAUAACUUGUAUCCAAAAGGCCAAAUAUGAAAUGUUAAUUGGGGGAAAGCUUUUAGUUAGUUUAUCUGUUUUUAACAUGAUGUUGUUGGUUAAAAGCAAGUCAUGAACAAAAUACUUGACAUAUAAGACAGGCCUGUACAUCGCUUGGAUCAAGAUUUUUCCUGAAACUAAUGGACAUGCUUUAUGACUUGCUGUACAUCGCAUGCUGCAGAGUGCUUCUUCUGCUUUACAGGAACAAAAGAAAAGGCUUAAAAAACAUAGGAGAUGCACGGUGUGAAUUCUUCGUUUGGACGGAUAUAUAUCAUUUGCUAGAUCAAAACAUUCAGACUAGAGAGAAUAAAGUUUGGAGUAUGUGGGAUGAGGUCUUGUUGCGCGAGUGCCAAGUGCAGAAAAGGGAAGAUAAAGUAAAUGAGAGAGAGAGAACUCUUAAAAAAGAAAAUAGGAAAUUAUUGUGUUUGUUUUGAGUUCUCACAAUUGUAAUAAUUUUAACUUGGUUCGGAUAAUUUGUAUGAUAACUGUCACGUAUGAAGUACAUCGUUUUCAUAUGGUUCCCCACAUGUAAAUUUAUGUCAAUGGUAUGUUUUGGUUAUGAUGUACAACCAAGGAGAAUUUGUAAUAUGGUUGUUACCCGUGUGUUAACUGUGAUUAUGCCUUGUGUGAACAUAAUUGUAAUUUUGUAGCAUCCAUGCA